UACGGAGGGUGCAAGCGUUAAUCGGAAUUACUGGGCGUAAAGCGCACGCAGGUGGCUGAGUCAGUCGAUUGUGAAAGCCCUGGGCUUAACCUGGGAAUUGCAGUCGAUACUACUCAGCUAGAGUAUGGGAGAGGGUAGUGGAAUUCCCGGUGUAGCGGUGAAAUGCGUAGAUAUCGGGAGGAACAUCAGUGGCGAAGGCGGCUACCUGGCCCAAUACUGACACUCAGGUGCGACAGCGUGGGGAGCAAAAGGG
rnacentral:rRNA from 1 species